rnacentral:rRNA from 1 species
UACGAAGGGUGCAAGCGUUACUCGGAAUUACUGGGCGUAAAGCGUGCGCAGGCGGUUUUGUAAGCCAGAUGUGAAAUCCCCGGGCUUAACCUGGGAAUGGCAUUUGGGACUGCAAGGCUCGAGUGCGGCAGAGGAGACUGGAAUUCCUGGUGUAGCAGUGAAAUGCGUAGAUAUCAGGAGGAACACCGAUGGCGAAGGCAGGUCUCUGGGCUGACACUGACGCUCAUGCACGAAAGCGUGGGGAGCAAACAGG